UCGCGCAUCUUGUUGUUUGGUUAUUGAUUUUUCGCAGAACCAUUUGAUCACAUGACAAGAUGCGCAUCUA
rnacentral:antisense_RNA from 1 species